rnacentral:rRNA from 2 species
CACGUGGGCAACCUGCCUGUAAGACUGGGAUAACUUCGGGAAACCGAAGCUAAUACCGGAUAGGAUCUUCUCCUUCAUGGGAGAUGAUUGAAAGAUGGUUUCGGCUAUCACUUACAGAUGGGCCCGCGGUGCAUUAGCUAGUUGGUGAGGUAACGGCUCACCAAGGCAACGAUGCAUAGCCGACCUGAGAGGGUGAUCGGCCACACUGGGACUGAGACACGGCCCAGACUCCUACGGGAGGCAGCAGUAGGGAAUCUUCCGCAAUGGACGAAAGUCUGACGGAGCAACGCCGCGUGAGUGAUGAAGGCUUUCGGGUCGUAAAACUCUGUUGUUAGGGAAGAACAAGUACAAGAGUAACUGCUUGUACCUUGACGGUACCUAACCAGAAAGCCACGGCUAACUACGUGCCAGCAGCCGCGGUAAUACGUAGGUGGCAAGCGUUAUCCGGAAUUAUUGGGCGUAAAGCGCGCGCAGGCGGUUUCUUAAGUCUGAUGUGAAAGCCCACGGCUCAACCGUGGAGGGUCAUUGGAAACUGGGGAACUUGAGUGCAGAAGAGAAAAGCGGAAUUC